GAUGAACGCUGGCGGCGUGCUUAACACAUGCAAGUCGAACGAAGCACUUUAUUUGAUUUCCUUCGGGACUGAUCAUUUUGUGACUGAGUGGCGGACGGGUGAGUAACGCGUGGGUAACCUGCCUUGUACAGGGGGCUAACAGUUGGACACGGCUGCUAAUACCGCAUAAGCGCACAGCAUCGCAUGAUGCAGUGUGAAAAACUCCGGUGGGAUACGAUGGACCCGCGUUGGAUUAGCAAGUUGGUGAGGUAACGGCCCACCAAGGCGACGAUCCAUAGCCGACCUGAGAGGGUCACCGGCCACAUUGGGACUGAGAAACGGCCGGAACUCCUACGGGAGGCAGCAGUGGGGAAUAUUGCAAAAUGGGCGAAAGCAUGAUGCAGCGACGCCGCGUGAGCGAAGAAGUAUUUCGGUAUGUAAAGCUCUAGCAGCAGGGAAGAUAAUGACGGUACCUGACUAAGAAGCACCGGCUAAAUACGUG
rnacentral:rRNA from 1 species